rnacentral:lncRNA from 1 species
CUUAACCACUAAACCAUAUCCCCAGCUCCCCCUUUUUAUAAUUUUAGGGAAGGAUCUUGCUAAGUUGCUGAGGUUGGCUUUGAACUUGAAAUCCUUCUGCCUCAGCCUCCCAAGCCAUUGGGAUUAUAGGCAUGUAAUAAUGCGCCCGACUCUUUCUGGUCCUUUUUUUUUAAUAUUUAUUUUUAGUUGUAGAUGGACACAACACCUUUAUUUCACUUGUAUAUUUUUGUAUGUGGUGCUGAGGAUCCAAACCAGGGUCUUGCAUGUGCGAGGCAAGCACUCUACUGCUGAGCCGCAACCCCAGCCCCUCUUCCUGGUCCUUGAUAGUACGAAUACCACUCUGUGAAGAGAUAAAUACAAAAACCAAGAUGAAGCCAUUUAGAAAUGUUAAUGGGAGUUUUUAAGAGUAAUUUUAUGAUUGUUGAAUCUAAUCUUAAAAAUUGGGCUUUUAGCCAGGAGCAGUGAUGCACACCUGUAAUCCCAGCAGCUCAGAAGGCUGAUUCAGGAGGAUUAAAAGUUCAAAGCCAGUCUCAACAAUUUAAUGAGGCCUUAAGCAAAUUAGCAAGACCCUGUCUCAAAAAAUUUUAAAAAUGGUUGGGGAUGUGGCUUAGUGGUUGGGCACCCCUGAGUUCAAUCCCACUUAUAUAAUAAAAAUUGGUUUGUGUUUUAUAUUUCUUUUAUUUUUUUUAUUCUUCUAGUAGUUGUUUUCUGUAUUUUUAGUAGUUCUGGCCUGUGAUUCACUGGAAAUUAAAAACAAAAGCAGUCCUUUACCACAAAUAUUUUGAGAAGCAUUGGUCCAGAUAGGUUAUUUGAAUGGGAUUUCAUCCCAUAUCAGAAUGGUCACUAAGACAAGGAAAAGAUGGGGAGAAAACACCAGUUUCUGAUCACCUUAUUGGGAUAGUGGAAAAAUUAAUAAUCAUUUCAGACCAGAUGCAGUGUUGCAUACCUGCAGUCCCAGUGACUGAGGAGGCUGAGGCAAGAGAAUUAUAAGUUUGAGGUCAGCAUGGGCAACUUAGAAAGACUAUCUCAAAAUAAAAAAUAAAUAGGAUUGGGGAUGAGACUCAGUGGUACAAUAUCCCUGGCUCAGUCCCUAGUACUGCAAAAUCAUUAUCAUCACAAUCAUCAUCAUCAUCAUCAAAUGUUCCAGGUGUUUCCUGUGUGUAAGCAGGUACCAAAGAUGCAGCUGGAUCCCAGGAUUAAACAUCAGUGAGGAGAAGAGGGAAAAAGCAGGGCUGAUCAUUAAAAGGACAUGUGUCAAUUCUAUUGUGUCUGUUGUUAUGGCCAAAAUUGGCUUGGGUUUGUUGAUGUCCCUGCUGUAUCUACUUUUAAUAUUUUGAAAUAUUUUAAGAGUUAAUAACUCUUAAAACUCAUAAGCAGUUUUCCAUCUUUAGAAAUGCAGGCUUUGAGGACUUAACCAUUUUAGUUAGGAGGAAGAAGUUCAAAAGCUCUAUUGUGCAACAUGGUGACUAUAGUGAAUAUUCAUGUGUUACAUUCUUGAAACAUGCUAAGAGAAUAGAUUUUACAUGUUCUCACCACAAAAAAAUAAGUAUACAGAUAAUGUAUAUGUUAAUUAACUUGAUGUAGCCAUUUCACAAUGGAUACAUAUCGUGCAAUGUUUAUGUGUCAAUUAAAAUCAAAUAAUAAAUUGUAAAAGUUGGGGAUGAAUGGUCUCCAAGGGUUUAUCAUAUCCCUAACUCCCCAACCCCAGAGGAAAAAAACAAAAUUUCUUCUGUUCUAACUGCACACAUGUAGUGCCUUUCUUUUUCUUCUCCACUAACCAAAAAUGUAUUCAUUCUUUUUAAAAAAAAUUUUUGUAGUUGUAGAUGGACAGCAUGCCUUUAUUUUUGUUUAUUAAGGAUCAAACACAGUGCCUCACAUGUGCUAGGCAAAUGCUCUGACACUGAGCUACAGCCCCAGCCCCAAAAUAUAUUCUUUCUUUAAUCCCAUCUCCUUUGUAAAGCAUUCCCUGACAACAAAGAUAAAUGUUGAUCUGUUUCACUGAAUUUUUAUAACACCUAUCUUGUGCUUUUUUUCAUGAACUUUCUUUUUUUAAAUUUUUUUUAGUUGCCAAUAGGCCUUUAUUUUAUUUAUUUAUAUGCAGUGCUGGCGCUCUGCCUCUGAGCCACAACCCCAGCCCCAUGAAUUUUCUUUUUACUUAAAUCUUACCUAUGUACAUUUCUGGGUCUUGUUUGCAACAAGAUUCUAAGUCCCUCAAGGUUAGAGGCCUGAUCUUCUUUCACUGUUGUUCCUCUUUAAUGUCUUUAACAAUCAGUAUUUAUGAUGGGUUUUCUAUUUGUUGAAGACUUAUUUUAUGCCAGGUAAUAAGAAUUACCUUAUUAAUUGUUAGAAUAACAACCCUCACAUGGUGGACAGUCUUUCAUUUUAUAGGUGAGGGGACUGGGCUCUGUGAUGCACCUAAGAUCACAAAACUCUAUGGGGAGAACUUGAUUUACCUCUAAUUUCUUUAACUCCCAGGAUCAAUGCUUAGUUUAAGAAAUUUAUUUAAUUUUAUUUAUUCAAUAAGUAUUUAUUAAGUAGAAACUUCUUGACAUAUAGAACAAAUCAUAACAUGUCUUCUUUACAGAAUAUUUUAGAAAUGUCUUCAUAUCUAUUUCAUAUGCUUAUACUACCUCUUUUAGUUACAUUACCUCUUCCAGCUUAAUGCAAGAACUAAAUGAAGACAAUUUUUAUUUGGAAUGUUUUAUUUUGGGUUUUUGCUGGGGAUUAAACCCAGGGCCUAGCACAUGCAAAGCACAUGCUCUACUACUAAACCACAUACCCUUGGCCCUGAAUAAAGCCAGUUUUAAUGAGCAGUGUGCCAUCGGUUUAGUUUUAUAUAGUUGUUAUUAGUCAAUAGAAAAUAAUAAUGAAAACUACAUAUACUUGUUUAAACUUUUCUGGAACUGGGUGGAUCUGCAAAGUAAAAAUAAUGGUUAUUAGAUGUUUCAAAGAAUAUUGUAGGUCUUCCAAAUUCUGUUUGUUUGUGGUACUAGGGAUUGAACCCAGAAUCUCAUGCAUGCUAAUCAAGUGAUUUAUCCCUGAGUUACAUGCCCUGCCCCCAAAUUCUGGUUUUUUAAUUGUAAAGUAUGCCAUCUAUCUAAAAACGGUUUUGCUACAUAAAUGUAUACUUUUUGAAAUAGUCAAAAAUAACAUUUAUUUAUAUCUCUGUAUAAUUACAUAUCCAAAUCCAUCUUUGCAAUUAAUGUUUUAUAGUCAAAAGAGUAAAGAUUAGUAAUUAGUAUUAGCAAAUGACAAAGUUAUCAUGGUACUUUCCAUAACAUGUCUUCUACUUAAGCACUCUGUGAAACAGUGUAGUGGUUAGAAUCUGGACCUUAAGCCAGAUCACCUGAGCACAAAUCCUAGCUAUGCCACUGAUGAGCUAUAUCUCUUAGCCAAAUUGUUCACCCUCUCUGUGCCUUACUGUUCUCAUUUGUCUAAAAGGAUGAUUUCUACCUCAGAUUUGCUAUAUAGUACUAAGAAUAAUAUAGACGAAUUAUACAUAUUCAAAAAUAUUAUUAUUGCUUUGAUUUGUUUAGAACCUUUAAGCAUACCAGAGAAUAAUAGGGUCUCAUUUGAGUUUCCUUAUUCAGUAUCACUUAAAUUUCUUACCCUUAAAUAGAUUGUUUAGAAGUUAAUGAAUUUCUACCAGCUAGAUCAUUUUGACAGAUAGAUGUUUCGUUCUUUCAUGAUGGAGCCAUCACAGUGCCUCAUCAUUUAUACUACCUCUUCAAGCUUUGAAAGUUCUAUGAUCUAUUAUGAAAGAUUUGACAAUUUGUAUUCUCUAUUUUUCUUGCCUAGAGUGUGGCAGGUGCACAAUAACUUUUCAUUUCCAUGCUGCAUUAUAAAGUAAUUUUUGAAGACUUUAAAUGACAAUUAGGAUCCAUGUGAGUUAAAAUUCACCAAUAUUAUCAAUGUGAAAAAUAACUGAACUGAAAUGACAACCAAGUGAGUAGAUGCCUUGUAUUUAUAGUUAAGUAAGUUUCCGUGUGUACAGGCUAUACCAGCUAAGGUACACCUUAGUCUUCUGCUGGUGCCUGGAAGAUUUCUUUGGACAUAGAUUGUAAGAUUCAUACAAAUUUCAGAAAAGGCAAUAUGAAUUCAUGAAAUCUGAUAUUUAAGUGAUUGAGAAAAAUGAGAUCUUUCCAGUGAAUUGGAUAAUCUUUUGUUCUUUCUGGUGCUGCAUACAAUAGCAGCACUAUGGAGGUACACAAAACUGAAAGUUCACUUUUGUUGUACAAGUAGGUUUUUUUUCAUAUGAUCAUAAUCAAUAUCAUUUUCUUCAUAGAACUACUUUCUGCUGUCUUCUUCAAUGGAUAAAACAGUCAGGUUAUGGCACAUUUCUAGAAGAGAAUGCCUUUGCUGUUUUCAACAUAUUGAUUUUGUCACUGCCAUAGCUUUCCAUCCAAGAGUAAGUAAUUGUUUGUGUACUUUAUGUCAUGCUAAAAGGAAGAUGAGGGAAUUUGGUUUCUUUGGAGGGCAGUUGGGCUACAGAAAAAAAUAUUAAUAGCUAUAUAGAUUGAAUCAGUUUAAAUUAGUCUUCCAUUUUGCUUUAAAAAUGGGAAGGGAAAUAAAUACUCUGUUACUCUGUAUCAGAAGUGGGAAUAUUUUAUUCUUAAUGUAAUAGUAAAUAAGCAUUACAAAUAUGUUAUUAGAUAUGUAGGGUAUAAAUAAAGUAUCCCAUUAAAGAUGAGAGCUGUUACAGAUGGAAGGAGAAAUCAGCAAAUUUAUAAAAUGAGAAAGGGAAGUGUAUACAGAGGAAUUGUAGGAGGAUUAGAGAGGAAAAAGAGAAAGUGGAAAAGACUAAAAGAAGCAAAGACCAAAAUUCAUUAUAAGAUAUACAAAAUUCUGCCAGGCAUGCUGACAGACACCUAUAAUCCCAGAAGCUCAAGAGGCUGAGGCAGGAGGAUUGCAAGUUCAAAGCCAGCCUUAGCAAUUUAGCAAGACCCUGUCUCAAAACAUAAAAAGGGCUGAGGAUGUGGCUCAGUGGUUGAGCACCCCUUGAUUCAAUCCCUCGUACCCCCCCAAAAAAAUGCACACAUACACACAUACGACACACACACAAAAAAAAAUUCCUAUUUAAUAUCUGGAAACUUUGUUAAUCCUUUAUUGUUGUUGUUAUUUAUUGUUUUGACAGUGUCGUUCUUUGUUUUUUAAAUAAUUUUAAUCUUUAAUUGAUUUCUUUUUUUUAAUUGAUUUCUUUUUUUAAUCUUUAAUUGAUUUCUUUUUUUUUAAGAGAGAAUUUUAAUAUUUAUUUUUUAGUUUUUGGCGGACACGACAUCUUUGUUUGUAUGUGGUGCUGAGGAUCGAACCCGGGCUGCACGCAUGCCAGGCGAGCGCGCUACCGCUUGAGCCACAUCCCCAGCCCAGUGUCUUGCUUUGUUGCCCAGGCUGACCUCAAACUCCUGGGCUCAAUGAUCCUCCUGCUUUAGCCUCCCAAGUAGCUUGAACCACAGGCAUUUGCCACCUUACCUGAUAUAUGUUGUUAAUCUUGAUAUCCCUUCUUACUCAUUUUCAAUAUAGAAAUUUUUUAAAUAUCUUUCCCCUUUAAAGAAAGUAUUUCAUAUUAUUUCAACCAAAGGAGAAAAAUCUGCUUUAAUGGAAUUAUUGUCUAUUGUAUGCCCUUAAAGGACAGAGACACCAAAUGCUUAAAGCUAGAUUGGUUUUAAGGUUUUUUGCAACUGUAAGCACAAGGGAAAUCACAUGCUGGUAUCAGUUCUACUGCCUAGACCUAUAAUAAUUGGAGUCACCCUAUGCUGAGUUAACUUGCCCUCCCCUAUGUUGACAUAUGGUUACAUUACCAGUCAUGUCCCUAUCCCAAUUUGUUUAACAAUCUUUUUUUUUUUUUGUACUGGGGAUUGAACCCAGGGGCAAUUUACCACCAAGCCACAUCCCCAGCCCUUUUUAUGUUUUAUUUUGAGACAGGGUCUCACUAAGUUCCUGACGGUGGCCUUGAACUUGAGGUCUUCCUGCCUUAGUUUCUCCAAUUACUAGAAUUACAAGUGUGUGCUGUCAUACCCAGCAAGCAUUAUCUUUCUUUUUUUAAUUUUUUUUAGUUGUACAUGGACACAAUAUCUUUAUUUUUAUGUGGUGCUGAAGAUCGAACCCAGUGCCUCACACAUGCAAGGCAGGCGCUCUACCACUGAGCUACAGCCCCAGCCCCACCAUUGUCUUUUGAAUGUAACAUUUCAAUCAUAUUCCCAUUUCUUUCUCUUUUCACCCAAAUUAGGAGAAAAGACUCUUUUUUCCCCUCAGUAUACUUUCUGCCUUUUCUAGGCAGGUUUACGACAUAGGUAGUAAUAAUUUUGAACCCUUAGAAGAACUUGGUCAUAAACUUAUGAAAAUUAAAAAUGUCUGAUCUAUGUUAAUACCUUAUCAGUUUUGACUAUCAAGUUGUUAGAGGCUUCUUUCUGAAUAACAUUGCUAUCCUGGUCCCCUAAAGAUGCAGCAGGAUAGAUUUAACCUUUGUCUCUGUUUUUAGCUAUCAGGGUAGAAAGAUACCUUACAUUGUGAUUGUACUGGGUAGCUUUUUAUUAUUAAGGCCUCUGACAGUCAGUAAUUUCUGUAUAUUUUUAUUUUUGAAACAAAAAAAGUCUACUGAUCUGGAGGGGUUUUGAGAGGGGAUGGGGAAGAAUGCAGUGGUGUAGACAUUUUCUUAGACAAUAUGACUUGGAAUAUGACUGGAAGGAAGGUAGCAGAAUUGUAAACAGCAAAUUGGAGACACACACACACACACGUACAUAAGUAAAAUUUUGGGGCUGGGGAUAUAUCUCAGUUGAUAGAGUGCCUGCCUCACAUGCAUAAGGCCCUGAGUUCAAUCCCCAGUACCACACACACACAAAAAAAAAAAGAAUGCCAAGAUGAAGUUAUUUUGUUUGUUUUUUGGUUUGUUUUUGUAGUACUAGGGAUUGAACCCAUGGCUUCAUGCAUGCUAGGCAAUUGCUGUACCACUGAGCUACAUCUCCAAUCCCCAAGAUGAAGUAUUUUUACUUGUUCAUCUCUUCUAGUAUACAAUGAGUAGGGCUGAUUAAACCAUAGUCAUAAAAAUGCCCAUUAUUUGUUGAUUGUCCUUGACAGGCAUCAUAAGUAGGUAAGAACAAUAAUCUUAAGCAGAGAAGAUAAUUGCCUCCUUGUUUUGGUGCCCCAAUUAUUUAAUCUUUAAUUCUUAUGUUGCCCAAGAUUAGGCCAGCUUGUUGGUAGGACUGAUUUAGUUUACUGCAGAAUUUCUUGACCUUGAUACUAUUGAAAUUCUUUUUGUAAAUAUUUUUUAAUUGUAGGUGGACACAAUACCUUUAUUUUAUUUAUUUAUAUGUGGUGCUAAGGAUCAAACCCGGGGCCUCACAUGUGCUAGGCAAGCACUCUACUGCUGAGUCACAACCCCAGCCUGACAUUCUUUGUUAUAGGGGGAGAGAAGCCUCUCCUGUGAGUUGUAAGAUGUUUAACAGCAUUCCUAGCCUCUGCCAACUAGUUGUUGGUAGUAUCCCAACCCACAGCCGGCUGUGACAACCCAAAAUGAUUUCAGACAGUGAUAGAUAUCUACUGUAGGGUCAGAUUUCCCCAGACUAAGAACUCCUGAUCUGAGAUUGAAUCAUGAAGUGAUUCUCUGCUGACAAGGUAUUAGAGUUCCCAAAAAAGACUGGUUCUGUAAGCCACUGACCCAUGUUACCCUUUUAUCCCUGUGUUAUGUGUAUCUCAGGGAGAGUAUGGUAUAGGAUAGUGUUUCCCAAAACAUGGUCCUUGAAGGUAUUAGCCCUGUUAGAUGUUCCUUCAGGACUCCCCCAUCUGCCCCCAAAAAAGUGUGUGGUGAGAUAAAUUGGAAAACACUACCUGCUUUACCCUCUUUUUAGAGAUUCAAAUCAUGGAUUAGUUGAGAAUACUGUUUAACAUUUUGCAAUCCAGAAUUUCUCUGAAUUAUUUAAUCACAGAAUUUUUUCCAUGCAAUACAUACUCAAACACAUUUUCUAUUAAUAUACAUACUUUAAGAAAAGCAGUUCAAGGAUAGGAUAAAAUUAUUAGAAUGCUAUUUCUCCAAAAUGAAUACUGAGGUUUCUAAUUUUUAUUAUUUUUGAUGCAUAAACUAAUGCUAGCUUAAAGAAUAGUGCUUUGGGACUGGAGGUGUGGCUCAAGGAUAGAAAGCUUACCUGGCAUGUUUGAGACCCUGGGUUCCAUCCCUAACAUCCAAAACAAAAGAUGAAGAAGAAUACUUCUACAAUGAGAUCUACAUUUUAAAACGUUAUUUAUAAUAGACUUAAUGUUUUGGUUUGCCAAGUUUUUCUUCAUGUGGUAGAAUAAAAAGCUUUUCUUUUGCCACCUUUUUAGGAUGACAGGUAUUUUUUAAGUGGGUCACUGGAUGGAAAGCUUCGUCUUUGGAACAUACCCGACAAAAAAGUGGCUUUGUGGAAUGAAGUAGAUGGUCAAACAAAAUUGAUCACAGCUGCAAAUUUCUGUCAGAAUGGCAAAUAUGCAGUAAUCGGGACAUAUGAUGGGAGAUGUAUUUUCUAUGAUACAGAGGUAAAUGAUUAUUUUGUGAGAGUAACGUAAUUGAAUACUUAAUAAAACGCUUUUGUGGUUUGGGGCAAGUCAUUAAUCCCCUGCCUUACUUGUAAAGUAGGACAAAUAAAAAAAAUAUCUGUCUAAGAAUUGGAUCAAGUGAUCUUUGAAGUUUGUUCUAAUUCUGAUAUUUUUAAUUUAUGCUUUCUUUUUAGCAUCUGAAAUACCAUACACAAAUACAUGUCCGAUCUACUAGAGGGCGCAACAAGGUUGGAAGGAAAAUUACUGGCAUUGAGCCUUUACCUGGAGAAAAUAAGGUACUGUACUAUUCAAAACCAGCUUUCUUCACACUUCACAUAGAGUUGAAGUUACUUUAAAUAUCUGGACAAAAAAUGUAUUCCCUUUCUGAUGGAAACUCCUGUUUCUAGCUUUGAGGUCUGUUUGUUUUAUAUGUGUU